UCCUACGGGGGGCAGCAGUGAGGAAUAUUGGUCAAUGGGCGGGAGCCUGAACCAGCCAAGCCGCGUGAGGGAAGAAGGUACAGCGUAUCGUAAACCUCUUUUGUCAGGGAACAAAGGCGGGGACUAGUCCCCGGAUGAGGGUACCUGAAGAAAAAGCAUCGGCUAACUCCGUGCCAGCAGCCGCGGUAAUACGUAGGUGGCAAGCGUUAUCCGGAUUUAUUGGGCGUAAAGGGAACGCAGGCGGUCUUUUAAGUCUGAUGUGAAAGCCUUCGGCUUAACCGGAGUAGUGCAUUGGAAACUGGGAG
rnacentral:rRNA from 1 species